GCAAGAACCAGCCCUGCAUGAGUAAGGAAGGUCAUGUCCUUCUUCCUCAGCUUGGUCAAGAAUGUAAACAUCAUCUGGGCAUUCAAAUUCAAUAGGUCCUUCUGGUGUAAUAAGCUUCACUUUGUAACUGGCCAUGCAAGUAAUCCUCCCAUUUCUACCAGAUUUAAGACCAAACAAAGCUUCACCAACAUUUGAUAUGGCUUUGAGGCUAGUCACAGCUGGCUUUCUUGGAAGGAAAGAAGUGCUAAUCAUUGUACCAGAAAUACUAGCCAUUUUUUACAAUUCUUUUCUUUUCUUUCCUUUUCU
rnacentral:misc_RNA from 1 species